UCAACUUUCACAAAUCUCUCAGAAAAACCUCAAGUCUCAUUUUAUAACACAAUUCAAUAAUAAAACUUUUUAAGUUUUCAAAUGUAUUCUGAUAUACUAUUUGGUUCAUAACUUACGGAUGAAAAAAGUGAGAAAGUCAGCCUUUUGCAAAUUCUGGGAGAACAGAACCUGAUGGAAAAUAGAACAGAAUUUAAUGCAGAUACAAACAAAAAGAAAAAUCUUUCCAGUUGAGAUUGACUUAAUCAAGAUCAAUCCUGUUUUCAGGUACUCAUUACUACACAGAUCUGCCUUCUAAUAUUUUUUUUCUCCUUUCUUUUUUUUUUUUUUUUAAUACUUAAUAUUAAUAAAUAAAUAAAUAAAUAAAAUAAAAAAGAACAUCAGCAUCUACUUUGAAUACAUUGGAAACAAUCCAUAAAUCUCAUUAUAAGCACUUCAUGUGUACUUUUGUGUGCUCUUAUAAUACAAUUGGUGGUUAUUUCUUCAUGAGAGUUCCUACUUGCUCUUCUUUCCCAAUUCUUUUUUUUUUUUUUUUUUUUUUUCUCCAUGAAACAGACAACAAACCAUUUCUUUUGUGGAAAUACUUAUUUCUUUCUGGAUUUUUGAUUGUUUCCACUAUAGACACAGAAUUUUACUUAACCCAGAAAUAUGCAUUUAUCCUACUGAAGGUUACAGUCAGCAUAGUGCCAAGUUUCUGGGUGUCUGAGAGGAAUUGUGUGAUGUCAAGUGCUGGAGAAGUUUAGAGCAGCCAUGGUAGAGCUGAACCAGUAAGCAGGACCAGACUGCAGUCUCUGUUUACAUGAUCCCCAAGACCACUGCUCCGUCAUUGCUGAACCUCAGAAGAUCCAUGUUAUUGCCAUCCCAACAGGGUUUUUUAUUCCUUUUCAUAGAAGGGAAUUGACUGUAACUCCAUCUAAAGUUAAGCUGCUUCAGGAAGAAGUACCAAAAGCAAACAAACAACACAGGGCAGGACUUUGCACUGGAAGCAGAGGCAGGCUGUAGAAUGGCUUCACAGAAAGCAGAUAUUGAAGG
rnacentral:lncRNA from 1 species